rnacentral:lncRNA from 1 species
AAUGUGGUCGACCACUUUUGCGUCGCGUAGAAAAAGGACGAGUGACUUUGCCACCUUUCGAAAGAACUGGCGCGGUAUUGGUUCUCCCUGAUGCGGUCGCGUGCUACUGUUGCUGCUUGCCGGGCGCCUUUAGCAUGUUUUCGGCUCGCUUUGUCUGUGCGUGUGUGCGCGCUCGCGCUCGGCUCGAUUCGUGUGUGUGCGUGCGCUCAGCUCGCUUUGGGUGUGUGUGUGUGUGCGCGUGCGUGCGUGCGUCUUGCGCGCGCAUACAUGCCGAUUUGUAUGGGCCGGCGUGCUUGCGUGUCUAGUGCGUACGUGUUUUGUGAGCGUGUUUCUGUGUGUGUCACUGUGUGUGCGUGCACGUGUUAGCGUGUCUGCCUGCAUGUAUGUGUGCUUGUUUGUGCUUAUCAAUGUGCGCGUGCGUGCUUUUGUGUCUGCGCUUUGAGAGUGCGUAUAUUUGUGUGCGCGCGAGUGCGUUUUGUGUGCGUGCGUAUGUAUUGCAUAAGGCCGGUAGAGUUUUACUCGCAACAAAACUCCUCAAAUUAGGUGCAGCGAGUGUUGCCGCCUAAAAGCCGAGUUUGGUUUCAAGCCAACCUGGACAACUGCUGUAUGAGGCGCUGUUUCUCAGGAGGAUCAGUGGGAAGGCGUCAGGUCAUGCAGAUGAUAGCAUCAAUUUCACAAUGCCCAGCCUUGGUGCCUUCCAUCAAGAGCAAGCCACUUGCGUUCGCCUUCAGGCAGAUGGUUGAUGUCUGUCUCCUAGGAAGCAGUUGGGAAGACAACAUUGAUGCAAGAUUCCAGCAAUGCCAUGCUCUGCAUUUAUUGGUCAAGAUGCUUAGAGAAUGGAGUCCCUGCACCUCGGGGUUAAACGUGAACAUUUUUUUUUCUUUUGGAAAGCUAAACGUCAUUUGCUGUAUCAAUUGCAUUCUUGCAGCUCAGAUUUGUACUAUAUUUUUUCUAAUUUUGAAUCAAUUAAUAUUCACUGUUCAGUAUAAAAAUGACGUACAGUGGGAAGGACAAGGACUGCGAGAGAUGACGUACACUGCGCUGACUUCCAACAAUAUUUUAUUGCGUUGCCACAUCGUGUGUUUAUACACAAGAAGGGUCAUGCGCAGAAAAUGAAAGGCAGUCACAAGGGUUGUUCUAACAGCAAGUCAUUGUACUAAGAACAUGGUCACUUAA